GUCCUUUUGUUAAAAAUAAUUUAAGGUCUAACCUGCCCAUUGAUUAAAUUAAAAGGCCGCAGUAAUUUGACUGUGCAAAGGUAGCAUAAUCAUUAGUUUUUUAAUUAAAAGCUUGUAUGAAUGGUUGGACGAGAUAAAAUCUGUCUCUUUAUAAAAAAUAGAAUUUAAUUUUUAAGCAAAAAAGCUUAAAUUUAAAUAAAAGACGAGAAGACCCUAUAGAUCUUUAUAUAACUUUUUUUAGUAUUAAUAAAGAAAAUUUUAUUUAUUAAUUGAUUUUAUAUUUUAUUGGGGUAAUAAAAAGAUUAAAUAAAUUCUUUAAAAUUUAACAAAAAUUAUUGAUUAUAUGAUCCAUUAUUAGUGAUUAUAAGAUUAAGUUACCUUAGGGAUAACAGCGUAAUUUUUUUAGAGAGUUCUUAUCAAUAAAAAAGUUUGCGA
rnacentral:rRNA from 1 species